CCACACGCCUCCCUCCCUGCCUCCUACUCUCUCAGAUCCUCUAGCUUCACAUUCGUCGACAUGGCCACCACCACCACAGCGGCCGCUACAUCCUCCUUCCUCGGAACCCGUCUUCCGGAGGUCCACUCCAGCUCCGGUCGUGUCCAGGCAAGGUUUGGUUUCGGACCCAAGAAAGCUCCUAAAAAGAUCGCAAAGCGCACCUCAGACCGUCCAUUGUGGUAUCCAGGAGCCAUAGCACCAGACUAUCUGGACGGCAGCCUCGUGGGUGACUAUGGGUUCGAUCCCUUCGGACUAGGCAAGCCGGCCGAGUACUUGCAAUUUGAGUUGGACUCCUUGGA
rnacentral:lncRNA from 1 species